UACAGAGGGUGCGAGCGUUAAUCGGAAUUACUGGGCGUAAAGCGUGCGUAGGCGGUCGUGUAAGUCGGGUGUGAAAGCCCCGGGCUCAACCUGGGAAUUGCAUUCGAGACUGCACGGCUGGAGUGCGGAAGAGGGAAGCGGAAUUUCCGGUGUAGCGGUGAAAUGCGUAGAUAUCGGAAGGAACAUCAGUGGCGAAAGCGGCUUCCUGGUCCAGCUCUGACGAUCAGGCACGAAAGAGUGGGGAGCAAACAGG
rnacentral:rRNA from 1 species